GGAGUCAACAAAGUCACUGUGGUAAGUUAAAAGGCAACAAAGAGAAACUUUAUUAUUGUGUGAGAAGAUAAAGAUCAAUGGAAUUGAAGAGAAUUUAUCAGUCAUAAGUCACCUACAAUUAAUACCAACACUGUCAAGUCUUAUUAACUUAGUGCAAAAGGUGCAAAGUUGGAUCCUUUUACAGCAGCCUUUCCAAAACCAGG